GACGAGGGGUCCAAGCGUUGUUCGGAAUCAUUGGGCGUAAAGCGGGUGUAGGCGGCUCUAUAAGUCAGGAGUGAAAUCCCCGAGCUUAACUUGGGAAGUGCUUUUGAUACUGCAGAGCUUGAAUGUGGGAGAGGGUAGUGGAAUUCCAGGUGUAGUGGUGAAAUACGUAGAUAUCUGGAGGAACACCGGUGGCGAAGGCGGCUACCUGGCCCAACAUUGACGCUGAGACCCGAAAGCAUGGGGAUCAAACAGG
rnacentral:rRNA from 1 species